UACGUAGGCAGCAAGCGUUGUUCGGAAUUACUGGGCGUAAAGAGUGUGUAGGCGGUUUUCUAAGUCUGGUGUGAAAUCUCCCGGCUCAACUGGGAGGGUGCGCGGGAAACUGGAAUGCUCGAGUAUGGGAGAGGUAAGCGGAAUUCCUGGUGUAGCGGUGAAAUGCGUAGAUAUCAGGAGGAACACAUGUGGUGUAGACAGCUUACUGGACCAUAACUGACGCUGAGACACGAAAGCGUGGGUAGCAAACAGG
rnacentral:rRNA from 1 species